CUCCUUCCUGUUUUCCCUGCAUCCUGCUCUCCUCUGGCUAACAAGCUGCAGAGGAUUGAGGAAGUGGAGCGGUCUGGGACCCAAGGCAGGAAGCUUGGGGCCUGAGUCCCAGCAUCCGGACUGCAACAAUGGAAGCUUCAAGCACCAGGAAAAGAGACAGACACAGACAGGGGCACAGGGAGAGCAAAACAGAGUUAGAGAGGGAACAGGAAACAGAGGCAGAGGUAGAGAAAGGCCACUAGAUAGAUUCCAAAAGUAACAGAGAAAGACAAGGACAAAGACCGAGAGAGAAACAGUGACGGAGACACGGAGAGGAAGAGCGACGGAAAGAGACUUCAGCAAAACACCUGCCAGGAGAAAGGAGUAGGAAACCUGUGUCCCAGGACAGGAGCAGGUGCCCAGGCCUGGCAGAGAGACCCCUACCUUCCCAAUGCCAUCCAGAGAGCUAGGCAUCAUCGGGAGGUUGGAGAUGGAGGGAUUUGGCAGAGUCUUCCUUGAUGGUGUCAACAGGCUGCUGGAGACUUGAUAACAGUUUCCUUGGCUGACCCUGUCCGGUUCCAGUCGGGCCCUGCCAGAAAGCUGCAGGGGAGCCAUGCUGAAGUGCAGAUCAGAGACCCUCUUCCUGCUUCCUCUCCCAGGGCAGGGGUCUUUCAGUCUCACCUGGAUUGGGCCCUCUCCUACUUUCUGCAAGUGCAAAGUGUCCAGGCAAUAGGAGGAAGAGGAGCUGACAGCUGGGCCUGCAGGGACAGAACCAAAAGUUGCAAACUGACGGCACCUACUGGCAACCAUCAAGACUGCAGAAGGGCUGGAGGGCUCCGGCCCAGACAAGAUUCUGGGAUUCUCUCCAUGCCAUCUCACAGAUGAACUAGAGUCUCUUCUGCCCCAUCUGCCUUGGAGAAGGGCAAAGCUGUCAGAAGCAUUCUAAACAAAUGCUAACAGCAAAAGACUACAGCACAGAGUGCAAGAUGGAUGGAGUGGAUUAGAGCAGACGUGGCAUUGAUAGGAAUCUGGGCCCCAGGCCUCCGCAUAACUUUGGCUUCCCAGCCCCUUCUCUGGCUGCCCUGGACUGCGCACUGUGCCCACACUGAAUAGGGAGCUUGGCUUCCCUCCAUGUCGGCUGUCUAGGUGCCAGGCGUGGCAUCCUCCGCAGUCAUCCCAAGUGUGGGCUGAGCAGUGGCAUGUGAGUCCGGCUGCCUUCUUGCCCGCCAGGGCCCCACACUUGGAGAGACCAGAUCCGGAGAGCCAGGAUCUCCAUCAGGACUCCACAGUGCAGAGGGAAGUCUGGUCCAGAGGACAGAGUCUGAGUCCUUCUUCAGGAUGUGCAGCUCCAGAAGUGAAGAUCGAGACAGGGGAGAGGGUGGGGAGAGGCGAGCCCAUCUGCAGUGGGGCUGGCCAGGAUCAUUUCACAUCUUCAGUCCAUCCAGCUGUGCUCCUUGCCGGCUCUGUGGCCACUUCCCCUUCCUCAGCUCCAGUUUUACCAGCUAUUCAGUGGGGGAAGGGAACUCAUUGAAUUGUGAAGCCCAUUCCAGCUAGAGCACUGGAGGAAUCUAGAACCUCUGGAGUCCUUGUCCAUGGUCCUCCGCCCAAUGCUGGCAUGACUUCCAACCUUCCAGAGUUGACACUGUUUCCAGGCCUAUGGGCACCAGCAGAAUCUCAAAGUCUGCAGAGACGAACCAAGUGAAUGAUAUUGGGCUCUAGGAGAGCUCUGUCACCACCCAAAGAGGGGAUGAGGCUCACCCAAGGACACACAGCUAGUAAGGAAUCCAGCUGAGACUUAAGCCAAAUACAGUUGCUGCCUACUACAGAUUUGGCCCCCUGUACCAUAGGCUCAGGACUCCAGGAAGGUGGAGGUGGGGGGAGAAAAAGAAGGUGCUACCUGGGAGAAUCUAUGCAGAGGGCACUUGCAAAAGAAGAGACACAGAAAUGACUCAAGGCAGAGAGAAACAGAUGUUAGCGUGGGAAAAUCAUUCUCCCUGCCUCCCCGACACCUGUGAAGUCAAAGAGCACGGUGUCUGCUUGCCAGGUGCCUCCUGGCCUGGCAGAUCAGAAGCCCAGAAUCAGAGCAGACCCUGUGUCCUUCUCCCAAGCUCCUUGGAGGGCCUCCAGGCCCUGUCUCCUACUCCCCUGGCCCUGGAGAACAGUGCUACCUACCCCAAAGAGAUUCUACCCAGGGACUGCUGAACCCAGAGAGACCCCCCACAAAAGGGCUCUUGAAUUAGAUACCACGCAGAGGAGUCCUCAGAUUUAGUAAAACCCCAGAGGGGACCUGGGUUCCAGAGAAAUCCCAACACUCACACACACAGGGGCCCUUACUCCCCAGCUGCACGCCUCCCCUUCUCCCUACCAGCACGAGGAGCGCAAGAUAGCUCCGGUCAGGCCUUCUGCUUAGUCCCAGACCUCUCUUCUGGCCCCAUCAUCCCACGCCCAGAGCCAGGAUCUCUGGUCCCUCACAUCAGGCUUCGUGCCUUGUCCUUUCUCUCCUCCCCACCCCACCCCUUUCUCUCCUUCCCCCCAGCCUUUCUCUUCUCCAUACACAGGAGAACAUCCUGGCCUGAGGGGCUUCCCAAGCUUGGUAACCAGACAUGCCAGCAUCACUGGGGAAAAGUGGGGAAGACCCCCCUCCCCCAGAAAAGUGAGUGGAUCACAAGAGAGGAAGGGGAAGAGGAGUAACUCCUGUCUCCAUUUCCUAAUCUGAAAACUGGGAAGAUAACUGCACCAAACUCAGAGGAAUGUUAUGAGAAGCUAUACAUAGUACAGGCUUCUGGUUAUACUUCACUUGAUAAAUACAUAUGGAAAACCAUCGUUGGAUAUUAGUACCUGUCCACCAGAUCGGUAAAAAUUUUAAAUAUCGACAACACCACAAUCUGGAGUAAGGGGACUCUCCUGCAAUGCUGGUAAGAAAUCAAAUUUGUAUAACCCCUCGGGAGCAACCAACGAUUCCACCCGGAGAAUACAGCCAAUAGAAGUGUCUCUGUGUGUGUAUGUGGGUGUAUUCCAAAACCCAUGUAUAAGAGUAUUCAUAGCAGCACCAUUCAGCCAAACGCUGGCGUCAACAGUAGACUAGAUAAAUCUACAAUUGAACAAACUAUCACUACAUCCAACAACGUAGAUCUAUCACCUAUUGAACAGAUUACUACUGUAUGAUUCUAUUUCUAUAAAAAACAGCCCAAACUAAUCUAUGGCUUUAGAAAUUAGGAUAGAGGUUACUUUGGGGAAGAAGGAAGGGGUCUUAUGGGAAACAGGAAAUGUUUAUUAUUUAGUUACAUAGUGUAGUGAACAUUCAUUGAGCUAAACAUUUGUUUGUUUGUUUGGUAUGUAAUGCUUUCUUUUUUUUUUUUUAAGAAGAAACAUUAUUGUUUAUUUUUUUAAAAGAGCGUUGGUUCUCAAGUCAGCCUGCCUGCACUAGAUUCCUGGCAGUAGAUAGAUGGUAAGUUAGCUCACCUCUCUGCCUGAGUGUCCUCAUCUUUCCUCUUAAGUGACUACUAUAUAGGGUGGCUAUAAUGAUUAAAUGAAUGAAUCUGUGUACAGUG